rnacentral:rRNA from 1 species
GAUGAACGCUGGCGGCGUGCCUAAUACAUGCAAGUCGAGCGAACAGACGAGGAGCUUGCUCCUCUGACGUUAGCGGCGGACGGGUGAGUAACACGUGGAUAACCUACCUAUAAGACUGGGAUAACUUCGGGAAACCGGAGCUAAUACCGGAUAAUAUAUUGAACCGCAUGGUUCAAUAGUGAAAGACGGUUUUGCUGUCACUUAUAGAUGGAUCCGCGCCGCAUUAGCUAGUUGGUAAGGUAACGGCUUACCAAGGCAACGAUGCGUAGCCGACCUGAGAGGGGGAUCAGCGACACUGGAACGGGGACACGGACCAGACUCCUACGGGAGGCAGCAGUAGGGAAUCUGACGCAGUAGGCGAAAGCUUGACGGAGCAACGCCGCGUGAGUGAUGAAGGUCUUCGGAUCGUAAAACUCUGUUAUUAGGGAAGAACAAAUGUGUAAGUAACUAUGCACGUCUUGACGGUACCUAAUCAGAAAGCCACGGCUAACUACGUG